GUGAACGCUGGCGGCGUGCUUAACACAUGCAAGUCGAACGGUAACAGGAAGUAGCUUGCUACUUUGCUGACGAGUGGCGCACGGGUGAGUAAUGCAUAGAUAAUGUGCCCCUUAGUUCGGGAUAGCCACUGGAAACGGUGAUUAAUACCGGAUACUCCUUCUUACUAUAAGGUAAGUCGGGAAAGUUUUUCGCUAAGGGAUCAGUCUAUGUUCCAUCAGGUAGUUGGUGAGGUAAUGGCUCACCAAGCCUAUGACGGAUAUCUGGUUUGAGAGGAUGAUCAGACACACUGGAACUGAGACACGGUCCAGACUCCUACGGGAGGCAGCAGUGAGGAAUAUUGCACAAUGGAGGAAACUCUGAUGCAGCAACGCCGCGUGGAGGAUGACGCAUUUCGGUGUGUAAACUCCUUUUAUUAGGGAAGAUAAUGACGGUACCUAAUGAAUAAGCACCGGCUAACUCCGU
rnacentral:rRNA from 1 species